rnacentral:rRNA from 1 species
CCUACGGGAGGCAGCAGUGAGGAAUAUUGGUCAAUGGACGAGAGUCUGAACCAGCCAAGUAGCGUGAAGGAUGACUGCCCUAUGGGUUGUAAACUUCUUUUAUAUGGGAAUAAAACGUUCCACGUGUGGGAUUUUGUAUGUACCAUAUGAAUAAGGAUCGGCUAACUCCGUGCCAGCAGCCGCGGGACUACGGAGGAUCCGAGCGUUAUCCGGAUUUAUUGGGUUUAAAGGGAGCGUAGGUGGAUUGUUAAGUCAGUUGUGAAAGUUUGCGGCUCAAACGUAAAAUUGCAGUUGAAACUGGCAGUCUUGAGUACAGUAGAGGUAGGCGGAAUUCGGGGUGUAGCGGUGAAAUGCUUAGAUAUCACGAAGAACACCGAUUGCGAAGGCAGUUCACUGGACUGCAACUGACACUGAGGCACGAAAGUGUGGGUAGCAAACAGGAUUAGAUACCCUUGUAGUC